CCGGGACCCCCGGUCCCGCCAGUGCUAGCUCCGGCCCGUCCCCCCAGGCACUGCGGAGCCCUGCGCGGCUCCAGGAUCCCCCGCGAUGCACAGCGGAGAAUCCCGAGAGAGCCGCGGGAAUGCUCCGAGCAGGGUAGCUGGAAUGGAGGCGCCGUAGAGUAGAAAGGCUGAAUGCUUGGAGUCAAUCACAGAAAAUUUGCUGCUGUCGCAUCAUCCCUUGCCUUGGAGCCCGGCUCAGGCUUACAAUAAUUCCUGUUGCACAUCACAGUGAGCGGCUCCAGGUGUCAACUGAGCAAAGUCAGGAUCAGCUGCAGUUAUUCCAGAGUACGUGUCCAUGUGCAGAACAUUCCGGAACAGAGCAGCAGCAGCAGUAGCAAGAACUGAGAUCGAGCAGGAUGGAGUGGCCGGGCCAAGCCGUGACCCCGCUGGCAGGAGCUGCAGAGUGGACAGCAGAGGGAACAGCUUGGUCGUGAAGAUGCUGUUCUCCUGAAAGAGGAUUCUGUCAAAAACAUGGUUUGGUGCAGGGGAUGGCACGCCAAAGGCAAGACAGCAGCAGACACUUGAAUGGAGACUCCUCGUGUUUACAGCCUGGUCACACGAGCAACUGAGACCUGAAAUCUCCCUGACAUCCUAUCUGGAUGCUUGGCCUUGGAACAGCCUCAUUUGUGCCACACCUGCUUCCUUCCACUCGUGGAGCCUUCUUUUCUGUUCUGCACAGAACACUGGAAAAGUACUUGGAGAUGGCUGGAGAAGGAAGGAGGCUUCCUGGAAAAUGGUCUCUAAACCAGGCCCUUCCCUGUGCCAUGGUUUUUCUGGGACUCAUUAAUAUCAGUGGUUCCUGCUGGAGGAAUUCUGUCACCUUCCCCAGGGCAGCAGAUCUGAGGCCAGACAAGGCAUUGCCACUGACAGGAAAUGGAUCCUCACAAUUGCUCUGCUGAGAUCGCUCACUGCUGUUACUGCUCUUUGAUUCCUGGUGUGUUACUAGUGCUCUGCAUUUGGGACUUGAAUAAUUAACAAAAAGGACUCGUAUUGGGCAUUAUGUAAAUUCUAUAUGUUUUCACACAGCUACUGGGGCCUGUGUUAUAUGUAUCAUUGACAAAAAGAAAAGCAAAUGCAUUUGGUUCUGCCCUGGCUUGUGGGCAAGGGAUCUCAGGGGUCACCUAGGCACAGAGAGGGAAAACCUCUUCCUAACACAUCUCUGUGUUUCUGCAAAUCCCUUUCCAUGGCAAUUUGUACCUCCCCCCAACUUGCUGCAUGUCCCAUGACACCUUACCAUGGACACCAACAAUUCCUGCUCUGUAAGGCAUUUCCCACUUUUCUGGGAGCAAGGGGCUUCCCAUCUCUGCAGCAGGCAUGUGCAGCACGUGGAUUCAUUGCCCUGGAAAACUGGGAAAGCCUACCAGGGGUCUCUGGUAGGUGAGAGGCCUGUGGCCAAGUGCUCAGCUCCGUGAGACAAAUCCCACACCUUCUGGGAUAUGGUUACGUCCCAGAGGAAAGGGGGAUGCUAAAGGACACGUGGCUGCCUCCCUAAAUGAAAAAGAGUGUAAAGCUGUUCAGAUUAGUGCACAUCAAUCCGUGCUGGAAUCAAGAGAUGCUUUGGUUUGGCAGCACUUGGGACAAAGCCACCAUUUCGUUCAAAGUGUAUUUAAUGCGACAGAGGAGGUGGCUUCCUUUGACAGUUUUACAGCUCUUAUCAGAUUACAUCAAAAUUAAAUUAAAACAAUUUAAAAGAAAUGUGAAGCACUGCAGGGAGAACACAAACAAAACACUCCUCUUUGUAGGCUUUCAGGGAAGAGACCACAGUCCUUAUCAGGGAUGGGAGGAUGGAGAUUAUUCUUGAGUCAGUUAUGAGCCCAGUGACUGCAGUGAGCACCGAGACACAGAACAAAGUGGGAAAUACAUCGGGGGGACCAGGAUAAGGCUCCUUAUUUCCUCUUUUUUUGUUAAAUAAAUAACAGAAUGUUGAGCCCUGCUGCGAUUCAACACCCUCAAGCCCCAGCUCAAGCUCCAUAGUGAAAAAAAACCUCCCAGGGUUGCCCAGGAGACAAACUGUGCAGCCCAAUGUGUCAGGGACCAUCAGCCCCUUUCCACCAAUCCCUCAAAACUGGUAUAAAGCUUCCAGUUUUUUCAGUUUGAGAAAAAGGCUUCCAGUAGGCUCAGGAUUUCAGACAGUGCUGAAAGUGCUUGGAAGUCUUGCACUGUUUUAGGUGUUCUUUUAGCGAGCACAAAUAUUUCUGAAACCAGGCCCAGAUUUCACCUGUGGGCUCCAAAACACAUCUUUGCUUUCAGUAAACAGAAGAAGGGGGGAGAACAGUCUUCAUGACAAGUGCUUUUUAUGGAAAUGCAGUACUAAAAGGCUCCCAAAUCCUCUGCUGGGCAUUCCUGGAGUGCGAAAGCUCUGACUCAAGCCAUUGUUCUCCAUAUUCUCCAUACUUUGUUGAGUUGGGUAUUUAGAUGGACACACACGGUCUGAGCCAGGCUAAUUUGGGAGCAGCUGGGUGCCACUACAUCCAUUCCCUUUUCACUCUGUUUAAAUCCAUGAAGCUGAGCUGGAGGCUGCAGGUGUUGGAAACACCAGGAAUGCUGCUGGAUCACCAAAUCCAGUCAAGGAACCCCAAAAAGCUCCCGAUCCCCGGAAGGCCAGGGCAUGUCCCCAGCCAGACCCUGCAGCUCCAGCUGAGCUUUCAUGUGUCUGUUCUUGGCCAGAAGUUCUUACAAAGCGUAAUUAUUGUGAUGAUCUCACACUAAUUGUACACUGAUUGCCAUCCUAAUUAUGCUUAAGCAUUUCACUGCUCUCUGCAAUUUUGUCUAUUGAUGUAUCACUUCUCCUUCAUUUCAAUUAUUCCCGUGGCAUUCAGAUUUUAUUGGGGCCCUGGAAUUUAAGCGCUCAUUUGGCAACUUCCUUUCAAAGGGAUUGAAGUUUUUAUCUGGAAAUGAAAGGUGGGUGUUCUG